rnacentral:rRNA from 1 species
UACGUAGGGUCCGAGCGUUGUCCGGAAUUAUUGGGCGUAAAGGGCUCGUAGGCGGUUUGUCACGUCGGGAGUGAAAUCCAUCAGCUUAACUGAUGGCUUGCUUUCGAUACGGGCAGACUAGAGGUAUGCAGGGGAGAAUGGAAUUCCUGGUGUAGCGGUGAAAUGCGCAGAUAUCAGGAGGAACACCGGUGGCGAAGGCGGUUCUCUGGGCAUUACCUGACGCUGAGGAGCGAAAGUGUGGGGAGCGAACAGG